rnacentral:rRNA from 1 species
GUUAGUGGCGGACGGGUGAGUAACACGUGGGAACGUGCCUUUAGGUUCGGAAUAACUCAGGGAAACUUGUGCUAAUACCGAAUGUGCCCUUCGGGGGAAAGAUUUAUCGCCUUUAGAGCGGCCCGCGUCUGAUUAGCUAGUUGGUGAGGUAAAGGCUCACCAAGGCGACGACGGGUAGCCGGCCUGAGAGGGUGACCGGCCACACUGGGACUGAGACACGGCCCAGACUCCUACGGGAGGCAGCAGUGGGGAAUAUUGCACAAUGGGCGCAAGCCUGAUGCAGCAACGCCGCGUGAGGGACGAAGGCCUUCGGGUUGUAAACCUCUUUUAGUAGGGAAGAAGCGACUGGGUUUUCCUGGGAGUGACGGUACCUGCAGAAAAAGCACCGGCUAACUACGUGCCAGCAGCCGCGGUAAUACGUAGGGUGCAAGCAUUGUCCGGAAUUAUUGGGCGUAAAGAGCUCGUAGGCGG